ACAUGGUAGCUUCCAUCUUGCUUCCAUCAGACGCUCAAGCAACCCUAUGAGGUCCGUGUGGCGAGGAGCUGAGGCCUCCAGCCAACAACCAACAAAAAUUCGCGAGGUGUAUGAGUGAACUACCUUGGAAGUGGAUUUUCCUGCCCCAGUCAAACCUUCACGCAGACUACGUACAAAAUGGACUGACACCUGGGUUGCAACCUUAUGAAAUAUCCAGAAUAAAAACCACUCACACAGACCAUUCCUGGAUACCUGAUCCAAAAAAAAACAGACAGAAACGUUGGGAGGGAAAGAAACCUGAAGAACAGACAAGUAGAAUCAUUCUGCAAAGGAGACAUCGUAAUCUGUCUUUACUAUCACUUGGAUCAUUUGUUCAAAGAAAAGCAUAAACAAUAAAGCCACUUCAAGUUGAAGAAAAAAUUAUGUUUAAAUGUAAACACCACUUAAGCCAGGCAGUUGUACAGAUUAUACUUUACCUGUUUUUGAAAUCUUACCAUUUCCUGCCUUGGUACCGAAUUACAGCAUCCUGGUUUUUGGCUUGAUUUUGGUAGACUCUUUCCCCUUGAUGAAAGCAUAUAUUGGCUGUAAUGCUGUUUUAAUAACAUUCAAUUUGGUUCCAGCCUAGUCAAAAGAAAUCUAAGAGGCAGGACUGCACAGCUCACAAGAUGUGCUGUGGAUUUUGGUCACUUCACAUCAUGAACAUUCACUGCCUAGCAAUGGCUCCAGAAGUCAAGAGUUCAAUCCUGCCCCAAGUUACAAGAAAAAUGGUAGAAACACACAAGUGACAGCAUGUACAAAUACAUAAGACGGGAGAAGAGGAUAAAGAAAGGAAAUUAAAAGUAAAGAGAAGAGGCAGCAAAAGAAGAGACAGACAGCAGUAAGUAACCAGGAGCCUUGUCAGUGUUGUGAGAAGCCAAUGGCCGCUGGAAAGAAUAGGUAAGACUACAAGAAACACAUGGAAGGAGUCAAUGAAUGUCCAGUCCCCACACAGUUUAGAGGAAAACUGGGUUAAGAGGAGCAGCUGAAAGAGGUGCUCAAAGAAGAAGUAAGCUGCUCUUGCAGAGCUUGAAAGCUGGGAGCAGCCUACACAUCUUAGAACCCAAAAGGGUACAGAGAACCUACAAGUCUUGAUAGUCCAGUGGACCAAGAUAUGUGAGGUCAUCCACAUUGUAUGAAAUUAAGGCUUCAAAGGGAAAACUGUCCUUCUCCUCUGUACAUUCUAGAGGUAAUACAGAUAACAGCAAACAUUCUAAUUUUAGCUCUUCUGUCAUGUGAACUUGGGACAGUCACAACCUCCCUGAGCUUUAGUUUCCUCAUCCGCCGAGCAAGUUCUUGGAAAUAAGUACACCUGGUAUGUCUUUUAAAAAUUGCCACUGGUAGGUCUCUAUAGCUCUGGGAGGUGCAGGAUCCUGGAGGAGGAAGAUCUAAUGAAUGUAAAUCAAGGCUACACCUACUCUCUGGGUGUGUCAGAACCCAAGUUUGGAUGCUGGGAAACUAACGGGAUAUAAAAAUCUCUUUUAAGACUUAGGACAGACCCUGCUACAGGGUCACAGAGACAAAGAGAAUCACUUGCUACAAGCCAAUGUAGAAAAAAACUUCACCAGACUCUUCACUUUUAAAGCCCUAUGUGCCAAGCCACUGUUCAAAGUACUUUAUGUAUGUUAAUUCAUUUAAUUCUCUUAAUCUCAUGAAAUAGGGAUUUUCCUUAUUUUCUGAUGAUGCAAGAGGCACAGGUAGUUAAAGAACAUAUGUCCCAGGUCUCCCUGCAAGUAAAUGGCAGACCAUAUAGAAAUCCAGCUUGAUUUGUUGCAAUCUGUGCUCCUAACCACCACUCCGCACACUGCCUUUAGCCAGGACUCCACAGCCCUAGCACGGCACUGCUGAAAGCUUGCUCUCCUGCCCUUCUUCUCUCCCCCAAAUAUUAAUUUUGGUGACCUCUCCUUAAAUUCCACAUCUGUAAGAUAUGGGUAAGACCACUUCAUUUCCUAUGAAGUGGAAUAUUUUUAUGAAAACACCCAACACUUGGCACAUUGCAGAUUCUCGAUAAUUGCUGAUUUACUCAUAUACCUCAAGUAAUUAUUAUUCAGACAAGUGCUGCCAUCUGCCUACCCCUCCUUGUUUAUACAAAGCUAAA